rnacentral:rRNA from 1 species
AGUGAACGCUGGCGGUAGGCCUAACACAUGCAAGUCGAACGGCAGCACAGUAAGAGCUUGCUCUUACGGGGGGCGAGUGGCGGACGGGUGAGGAAUAUAUCGGAAUCUACUUUUUCGUGGGGGAUAACGUAGGGAAACUUACGCUAAUACCGCAUACGACCUACGGGGGAAAGCAGGGGAACUUCGGACCUUGCGCGAUUGAAUGAGCCGAUGUCGGAUUAGCUAGUUGGCGGGGUAAAGGCCCACGAAGGCGAGGAUCCGUAGCUGGUCUGAGAGGAUGAUCAGCGACCGUGGAGGUGGGCCACGGUCCAUACUCCUACGGUACGCCCCAGUCGCCAACAUUGGACAACGGGGGGGAGCAUUACCCAACCAUCCCGAGUGUGUGGAGAAGGCCUCGGGUUUGUAAAGACGUUUUGUUGGGAAAGAACAGCAUCCGGUUAAUACCCAGCUGUUCUGACGGUACCCAAAGAAUAAGCACCGGCUAACUUCGUG